CCUCCUAGGUAUGCCCUGCCCCAUGAAAAUUUUUAAAUGGCCGCAAAAGUGCUAAGGUAGCAAAAUCAAUUGCCGCUUAAUUAGCGGCUAGUAUGAAUGGGUUCACAAAAAGAUACCUGUCUCCCCCUAAAAACUUUAAUCUAACCUUCAAGUGAAAAGGCUUGGAUUCCAAAAAAAGACAAAAAGACCCUGUCGCGCUUAAAGACACCUUAUAUUUAUAAAAUAUACUUCUCUUUUAGUUGGGACGACUUCUGAUAAACUAUAUCACCAGAGAAAAAAAAGAAAAAAACUUCAAACUUCUGACCCUAUUAAGAUCAAAUAAUUAGCAACCGCAGGGAUAACAGACUAAUUUUCUUACUAGAGCCCAUAUCGACUAANAAGGUUGGCACCUCGAUGUUGGCUUAGGGGAGCGACUAGAUGCAGCAAUCUAGUUUGGAGGUUUGUUCAACCUAU
rnacentral:rRNA from 1 species